rnacentral:rRNA from 1 species
UUGCAAUUGAUACUGGCAGUCUUGAGUACAGUUGAGGUAGGCGGAAUUCGUGGUGUAGCGGUGAAAUGCUUAGAUAUCACGAAGAACUCCGAUUGCGAAGGCAGCUUACUAACCUGUAACUGACAUUGAUGCUCGAAAGUGUGGGUAUCAAACAGGAUUAGAUACCCUGGUAGUCCACACGGUAAACGAUGAAUACUCGCUGUAGGCGAUAUACAGUCUGCGGCCAAGCGAAAGCAUUAAGUAUUCCACCUGGGGAGUACGCCGGCAACGGUGAAACUCAAAGGAAUUGACGGGGGCCCGCACAAGCGGAGGAACAUGUGGUUUAAUUCGAUGAUACGCGAGGAACCUUACCCGGGCUUAAAUUGCAACCGAAUAUGGCGGAAACGCUAUAGCUAGCAAUAGCGGUUGUGAAGGUGCUGCAUGGUUGUCGUCAGCUCGUGCCGUGAGGUGUCGGCUUAAGUGCCAUAACGAGCGCAACCCUUGCCGAUAGUUACUAACAGGUCAUGCUGAGGACUCUGUCGGGACUGCCAUCGUAAGAUGUGAGGAAGGUGGGGAUGACGUCAAAUCGGCACGGCCCUUACGUCCGGGGCUACACACGUGUUACAAUGGGGGGUACAGAGGGCUGCUACCACGCAAGUGGAUGCCAAUCCCAAAAACCUCUCUCAGUUCGGAUUGAAGUCUGCAACCCGACUUCAUGAAGCUGGAUUCGCUAGUAAUCGCGCAUCAGCCACGGCGCGGUGAAUACGUUCCCGGGCCUUGUACACACCGCCCGUCAAGCCAUGGGAGCCGGGGGUACCUGAAGUGCGUAAGCGCAAGGAGCGCCCUAGGGUAAAACUGGUGACUGGC